rnacentral:lncRNA from 1 species
GUGUUUCUUGAGUUGUACGAAAUAGCACACUAUAUUACAAAAUAUCUCAAUUCUUAUGCACAAGACAAAAAAGAAGAAUUCUUUUUGGAGGAAUACAUAAAAAGUCCUAAUGUAUGAAAAUUAUUGCUAUGAAACAUGUAUUAAUAACAUUGAUGUACAAAAUAACAUCCACUACUGUAUAAGUCUGAAAAAUAAUAAUACACAAGGUUUCCUGAGGGAAAUCCUGGAAGAUCAUGCACAACUAGUUUCUCAGCUCAGUGCCCUGAUGGGUUCCUAUUCCAUGACAAAUAUGAAGGAUCUCCAAGUUGCCUAUAACGAAGAGACAUACAGAUUAGUAGCUAAUCAUAUUUGAAAUUGCAAUUAUGCACGUUUGUUGAAAUGAGUUUGUGUCAAAACCACUAAACUUCACAAUUUCAACUGAUUCAUAUAAGGGACCGAAAAGAUUAACAUCAUUAGUAAGAAAGCGUAAGAUGUUAAUCUGGAUGCAUCUCAAAAACAUUAAAAUAUUUUAGAUUUAUGUACAAAUUCACAAAGACGUCGAUAUGAUAUAAACUUUCAAUUAUCAGACAGUUUUAAAAAAUAUGUAUCCAGUAAGUCAGUGUGACACUACCCAAGUAUUACAUCGGUGUAAUUGAAUACCUUCUAUAUGACAGAGAUCAAAAAUCAUAUUUAAACUUUUUUUUUUUUUUUUACGUCUUAAAUAUGUAAUGAAGAAAACUCUCACAUAUCAAAAAGUCUUCCAUAAAUAUAUACUUAAUUUGCAAUGCACUUAACAUAUAACUAACUCGAGCAAAACGUAGUUUAUAUUCAAAUUGACUUAAGGUUGAGCUAAUGAAAAUUCAGUUGGUUAGUAAAAAGUAAAAUAACCUAUUGUGUGCAAAGAGUGAAUGCAUUCAAUAUAUUAGAAAAACCAUAUAUGAAGUACGGAAAGUUAUAACGCUCCAAUGAACAUCAUCAUUUAAAAGGAAUUUGCAUAGCAGAAAGCAGCAAGUGAUUUUCUUACCUUGGCUUAACAAAAUAUACAAUAGUAAAAGCCAUGGCCAAGAAGAAGCUCAAUCCUCCAACAGAGAGAUAAGCAAUGCCAAGGAAGUCAUUCUUUCCUCCAAGCCAACUAGUAGUUGACAAUACAAGCUUCUUCUUGCCACUGAAACUAUAUGUGUUGUAGUUAUUCUGCAAUACCACUUUUAUCUCAUCACCUUUCUCCAGAUCCACCUCAAUCUUUCCAUACAACUUCCUAAAAGUUGGCAAAGCCGCAGUCCGCAUCCAAACAAUAAGAUCCUCCUGCUCACUCAACUGUUUCAUAAACAUUCAGAAAGUGAGUCACUUAUCUCAUUGAUGCAAGCAAAUUGAGAAUGUUGAUACAAUCACAAGAUGAACAGUGGAAUACACUGGAAAUCAUAAAAUCAGGAACAAAAAUGUGUAUACAUAUUAGGUUUUACAAAUGAUUGAUCUAUUUAAAGAUUGGUUUUAUAAAAGAAUCUUGCAAUAUCUGAAGUUUUGGCAAUAAGUUCUUUUACAAGUUCAAAUUAUCUUUUGCAGCAAAAUUGUUUCAGAAGAUCUCUCAUGUAACUUUUCUAUAUUUGUAUCUAUAAGCUUAUAAGAAAUUUAGAGUAAGUGAAAACCAUAAAACUAUUUUGACUGAAAAGACUCUAAUAGCUAGAUGCUAAUCAAAUGUCUUGUAAAAAACUUACCGGUAUACUCUCGUUGAGAUGAGCACCACCUGUAAUAUUACCAUUCUGGAAAUUUUUAGGGAAAACAUCACUUCCAAAUUUGUGAUCUCUAUCACUUUUCCAUGAGAUUUCUUUCUUGUUCACUGUGACAUUAUUGUUGUUGCGUGAGAAGCUGUAUGUAUCAUUGAACAUGCUCCAAGCUAUAAGACCACAAGGUACGAUUGGCACACCAUUUACAUCACGUUCAGGGUCACAACCACUUGUUGAGUUUGCUUUUCCAGCAUCCCUCAAUUGCUCAUCAUUUCGGCUUUUCACAUACCUAUUUUUUUUUUAAAAAAACAAACAUUCAUGAGAAUAUAAACAAAUAUACACAAUAUAUUAUAUAAAUAUGAUUACACCACUAAAAAACCAAUCAUUGAGAGUGGAAAUUAUAAAACGAAGCAAACAAUCAAAGACAGUGGAGACAUAAACUACUGUAAUUAUUUGUAUUUAUAUUCAAAAGGUAUACUCUAAAUGCAAGAUGAAUACAUGAAAAACAAAGUUCAUAUGAAUGCCUCUUUAAAUUUAAACUCACAAAUAGUUCAGUCAUCUUUUACAUAAUUCUGUAAAGUUGUUCAAAUUAUAGAACAUAAUCACAACUACAACUCUACAAUUUUAUAAUCAUUUGUAAAAACAUGUUGUGCAUUUUAAAUGAUAGCUUGCAAAUGAACUUCAUUUCAGUUGUCAAUCUAGCUAUUUUUGGCAAUCAUUUAUUACAAUAAACAAUACAGUUUUUUUCCUCAAACUUAAACAAUACCAAAUAAUCCUUUUUUUCACAUUAGAAAACCAUAAUGGGAACACAUGAAAACGAGAACAAAAUGUAGUGCAACGAACAACAUUUAUUCAUAGGAGAACAAUGUAUCAAAUUUCACAAAUCACAAUGACAAGAUGAAAGUUGUCACUCAACAACGACAUCCAAACAAUCGAGGGAGGUACGCAACAAAAUCUAAAGAACAUGAGAAAUGUGAAAUUCAAACAGAAAAUGAAUGUCUGAUUCAUGAGAAAUAAAAGGGAACAUACCGUCGGUGAUUCUGGUAGAAGUUGUCAAGCUGAUAGUAAACAUAGAUAGGAGACUUCAUACGCUUCUCCACCUAUUCAUAAGAGUAGUUUUUAAAACAAAUGAUGAUCAAAAUUUGGAAUUCACAAUUCAUCAAUUAUAAGAACAGAGUUAAUGCAGAAAUAAGUAGGAACAAGUACAAAGAGAAAAUGGAGUCAAUGAACCAUACAUGCAGUGUCCUUGUGCAAGUUUUAUCGGCAGUACUCUGAAUGUAUGCUACGUUAUCUGUCCAAUUUGACGGUACGCAUGCUGCCUCAUACCUAUCAACAAUUUCAACAACCUGAUACAAAGAUCAGUAAUAACAAAUUAAAAGUCAGCACAAGGAAUUAUACACAUACUAUUUAGAGCUGUAAACAAAAUUUGAAAAACAAUAUUGCAUUCAAGCGUACAUCUCGUGAAGCAAUAAGUGAAGCAACUCCAAUAGGAAUGAAUACGAUGGUGACAAUCAAGAACGCUGAAAUAACCUGAAAGGAAAGUAAUAUAUCAUGUAAAUAGUGACUUCUAAAUACAUAUAGGCUAAAUAGAUAAUCACAAACACUAUAUACAAACAAACAUAUUUACCGCUUGUGGUGUAAGAAUAGGCUUGCAUGCUGGUAGUUCUUGUUGCGUAAACUUUGAGUCUGAAAGACAAGAAAAUAUUCAAAGAGAACUCUAGUCAGCAAAUAUAGCAACAAACAAAAACAAAAAAAAUCACCCAAAUACAAUUGUUGUCAAAUCCAAACUUAUUGUCUAACUCCAUAGAUCAUUCAUAACUUCAUAGGACAUUCUUCAACUAGCUCAACCAUAAUAAUCAACAUGUCAAAUUAAGUUUCAAAAACCACGGAGUAAUAUUUGCUUAAACAAAAGCCACAAUUAGAUUGGCUCAUUUGAGCUUUAUCUACAGACAUAAGUUUUGUGGACUAUUUGGAAGAACUUAUGAUAACAGCCUAUGACAUUGUUCGUAAACUGUUUUCAACUCAUAUUUAUAAGUUCUCUGAGAUAACUUAUGAAGACAGCUUAUACGAAAACCAUUUAACUUUAUUUUAUCUUUUGCUAUAGUAAUAGCUUAAACAUAAGCACUUAUGAUGAUAAGUGCAUAUGGUAUAAGCUGCAAAUAAGUUGUUCACCUAAACAGGGCUAAAGUCUUAUAUUCAUGAAAUAGAAAUCCCUUCAAAAAGUAACAUAAAAAAAAAGUAAUAAUAAACAUGUCAAACAAGUUUCCAAAACCAUGAGGUAAUAUUUGAACAAAACCCCUUAAAAAAUGAACAUAAAAAUACAAAAUUUACAUAAGAAACAGAACCAAAUUAGAAAAAACAAAACAUGGGCAUGAACAAAAUGAGCUUAAAACCCUAAAAAAUAAUUAAUCAGAAGAUAAAACAAAAAAUCUUACACUUGGGUCGUUUUGUUUGUCUCCUAUUAGUAGUAAGAUCAUUGGAUCCAACGCUGGUUGAAGCCAUAACAGAAUCACCAAUUCAAUCCAAUCCAAUAAUGAAAAUAUUAACCUUUUGCAAAGAGCUUCAAAGAACAAAGAAGAUAAC